GUGCAUGAAAAUAUAACAAUAGGGCUCUUCAUGCCCCAACAGCAUUGACAAGUAUAUAACCAGACAUAUGUUAACAGUUGGUCAGCAUGUGGAAAGAUCAGCACAAUUUUUAUAUAACAACAUAAACAGAUUUAGCGUUCCUGUCUAACCGAUCAAUGCAUAACAUGCUUGUUGUCAGGAACUUUUCUAGACCUGCUGGGUGAAAGAUUGCGGUCCAAUAGAGAGUGAGUGCUUACUACGGAAAAGGUAGGUUAUUUAGUGUGAGAUGCCUCUCUACGUGUAAUACCUAUUGAGAAAUAGUAAAAUAAUAGAAAAUUAAACAAGCUUACAUCUAAGCAAGUUAGGUACACAAAAUGCUAUGAUGCUUGGUAAAUUAAGUUAGUGUUUCUGCAAUAUGUGAGCAUGUUGUGCCAUGUUUUUUAGACAGCCAGGAUAUGAGACUAGUCGAUUGAGAGAAAUUAGUUAAGCUUAAUACAGUUCUAACAUUAAUGUAUGCAUACAAUGAUGACUGUAUAGACAGGCUAGUACAUGUUGCUGAUGAAUAAAAAGAGUAAACAGGUACAUCCGUUUUUGCAGUGUCCCGAUAGCAUAUGCAAUUGUUAUGGUUAGAAACAUUGACUUCUUAGGGCAUAGCAAUAUAAAUACAGUGCACGUUUGUUUUUGUUUUUAACAUUUGCACAUUUUUGUA